GAAACUUAAAGGAAUUGACGGGGGGGCACCACAAGGGGUGGAGUCUGCGGUUUAAUUGGAUUCAACGCCGGAAAUCUCACCGGGGGCGACAGCAGUAUGAAGGUCAGGUUGACGAUCUUACUAGACUCGCUGAGAGGAGGUGCAUGGCCGUCGUCAGUUCGUGCCGUGAGGUGUUCUGUUAAGUCAGACAACGAACGAGACCCACGCCGUCAGUUGCUAACUUCUUCUCCGGAAGAAGAGUACUCUGACGGGACCGCUGUUUAUAAAACAGAGGAAGGAGUGGGCAACGGUAGGUCAGUAUGCCCCGAAUCCCCCGGGCUACACGCGGACUACAAUGGUCGGAACAAUGAGCUGCGACCCUGUGAAGGGGAGCCAAUCUCUAAAUCCGAUCGAAGUUCGGAUCGAGCGCUGAAACUCGCGCUCGUGAAGCCGGAAUCCCUAGUAAUCGGACGUCAAUAUCGUCCGGUGAAUACGUCCCUGCUCCUUGUACACACCGCCCGUCAAAUCACCUGAGUUGGGCCUGGAUGAGGCCUUACCAUUUUGGCAAUGUCGGGUCUGAGCUCAGCAAGGGGGGUUAAGUCGUAACAA
rnacentral:rRNA from 1 species